rnacentral:misc_RNA from 1 species
CAGAGUUGCAAAACUCCCUAAACCAUUGUGAACGUUACCUAAACCGUUGCUUCGGCGGGCGGCCCCGGGGUUCUCCCCGGGCGCCCCUGGGCCCCAUCGCGGGCGCCCGCCGGAGGUCUCCAAACUCUUGAUACUUUAUGGCCUCUCUGAGUCUUCUGUACUGAAUAAGUCAAAACUUUCAACAACGGAUCUCUUGGUUCUGGCAUCGAUGAAGAACGCAGCGAAAUGCGAUAAGUAAUGUGAAUUGCAGAAUUCAGUGAAUCAUCGAAUCUUUGAACGCACAUUGCGCCCGCCAGUAUUCUGGCGGGCAUGCCUGUUCGAGCGUCAUUUCAACCAUCAAGCCCCCGGCUUGUGUUGGGGACCUGCGGCUGCCGCAGGCCCUGAAAAGCAGUGGCGGGCUCGCUGUCACACCGAGCGUAGUAGCAUACAUAUCGCUCUGGGCGUGCUGCGGGUUCCGGCCGUUAAACCACCUUCAUAACCCAAGGUUGACCUCGGAUCAGGUAGGAAGACCCGCUGAACUUAAGCAUAUCAAUAAGCGGAGGAAUCGGCAUCUUGGUCAUUUAGAGGAAGUAAAAGUCGUAACAAGGUUUCCGUAGGUGAGCCUGCGGAAGGAUCAUUAACGAGUUUUAAUUGUUAGGUUAGAGUUGAGCUGGUUAAUCUAAUUAAUAUGUGCUUACUCUAAUCGAAACAAGUCCACUCAUUACUUAACACUUGUGAACUUAUUCAUUACAAACAUUAUUAUUUGUUAUUGGAACGUUUGAUUAUUAAAAAGUUAAUA